ensembl:snoRNA SNORA63 Small nucleolar RNA SNORA63
AAUCAGGAUUCAGACUACAAUACAGCUGGUAAGUGCUGUGUUGUCGUUUCCCCUGCUCAAAAUAAAGUUGUUUCUUACCUGUACCUGUCUGCUAUACCCUUAUAGAGCCAAGGAUGCUUGGUCUCAUACAC